rnacentral:rRNA from 1 species
UACGGGGGGGGCAAGCGUUGUUCGGAAUUACUGGGCGUAAAGGGCUCGUAGGCGGCCAACUAAGUCAGACGUGAAAUCCCUCGGCUUAACCGGGGAACUGCGUCUGAUACUGGAUGGCUUGAGUUCGGGAGAGGGAUGCGGAAUUCCAGGUGUAGCGGUGAAAUGCGUAGAUAUGUGGAGGAACACCGAUGGCGAAGGCAGCCCCCUGGGUUAACACUGACGCUCAUGCACGAAAGCGUGGGGAGCAAACAGG